rnacentral:miRNA from 1 species
UAAGUGCUAUGUUGUUGGGGAAU